GGUUAAGCGACUAAGCGUACACGGUGGAUGCCCUGGCAGUCAGAGGCGAUGAAGGGCGUGCUAAUCUGCGAUAAGCGCCGGUAAGGUGAUAUGAACCGUUAUAACCGGCGAUACCCGAAUGGGGAAACCCAGUGUGA
rnacentral:rRNA from 19 species